UUUUAUAGCGUCAUUCUAGCUCACGCAAAGAGAAUCACCUCACUAGAAUAAAAGUGGUGACGGUCACAUUAAAUUUCUUUGUAAGAGUCACCUACAAUAGGUGAACUCAAAAGCAAAACAAAAAUGCCUAAAAAAAAAAGCUAAUAAGAUCAUCUCCAACACUCAGCUUCAAAUGCACUUUUGCAUCAAAUAUGUGCAAAAUCUAAUGCAACAGCUCCUGUCCACUUGCAAAAUGAGAAAAGAAGUACGAGAUUUUCCAAAACUUGUCGGUCUUGGUAAAAUUUGGUUGGAUGGUUUAGGCAGAGAAGAAGACAGGGAAGAGAGGAAGCUCAACUUCAUAGUAAAACAACUCUUGUCCACUUGCAUCUGGAGUUUAAUGAUGAUUAUUCAAGGAAGGAAACCCAUGAGAUUGUACUUGAAACUUGAAACUCUGCAACCACAUGAAAACUUAAAUUGUUUAAGAAUUGAGGGGUAUUGUGGUGGGUCCAUAAAUCCUAGUUGGAUGAUAUCGUUGAUUGAUCUGAGAAGCUUAUACAUGUUUGCUUGUGAUGAGCUCGAGACAUUGCCUCCUUUGGGGAAACUCCCAUGCCUCGAAUCGCUUUCUAUAUACAAUUCUCUAAGUGUAGAGAAGAUUGGGCCUGAAUUUUUGGGAGUAGAAAUAGAUAACAACACAUCAGCAGUAGAGUCGUUGUUUCCCAAACUCAAACAACUCCAUUUGGAUUUAUUAUAUUCGUUGAAGGAAUGGGUAGGGGUGGUGGGUGGAAGAUUAGCGGUCCUUUGAAAAUAAUGCCUUUGCUUCAGUUUUUGGAAAUCGAAGACUCCCUAUGCUGGAAAUGUUGCCUGACUUCCAGGAGUCAACACCAUUGAAGAAGUUGGAGAUUCGUUUCUGUGAUAUUCUAAUGAAAUCUUGCCAGAGGGAGACAGGAAAUGAGUGGCCCAAGAUUCAUCAUGUCCUAAACAUUACUAUCUCAAUUCUAUAAUGAUAGAGGUAAAAAUAUACGAGAAAUUUUGAAGCAAUGGUAGACUAAUGAUGAAGAUCGAGUGAUUUGAUGUCAAUAUUGUCCUUCCUAAUGCGGAGGAAAAGAAAUUGGGUAUUUUGAAAAUUUUAUCAUUUGAAAGUGAAUUUUGUCCAACACCACCACCGAUAGAUGAGGACAUUCUACUAUCGAAGAUGCCUUUGUUGAGGCCUGGACUUUUUCUGCUAAAAAAGCGUUUGGAGGUUUGUUUUUUGUUUUGUUUUUUCAUUUUUUUUUUAAAAAUACUUUGUAUACAUGAUUUUGUUUUAAUGUUUUUAUCUUCUUGUUUAGUUGUAUGUAGGAUCAUUACAACAAGAUGUUCCAAGAUCAAAUCAAGGAGUUACAUGUAAAGCUGACUGAAGUCCAAGCUUCCCAAAAGUUGAUUCUUGAUGAAGUUAGUUCUUUGAAGAAAAGUUUUGAAGCUGAUUUUGCUACAUCGAUCAGUUUUCUUGUAGACAUUAAGACUGUUGUGUCUGUCAAAACUGAUGGUGGAGAUUUACAUUCUGAAAAUCAAAUGGAUUUUGACCAUGUUUCUCAGGAUUAUUUUGAUGAUAUUUGUGUGGGAGGGUACCAAGAUUUUGAACUUGGUGAAAAGUUGGGGCUGAUUUGGACCUUCUCUGAAGAUUGUUUCAGAUAUUGUUAAUCCUUUUAAGAGCCAAUCUAAAGAUGCAUCUUUGCUAUGCUCGACUCCUUCAACUCCUACAUUUCACGUGUCUAAUGAAAUGUGGAAAGUUAUAAAUGAGUCAGUUGAGAGACCAUUAAAAGAGAGCAUUUAUGUCGAGGAUAAAAGUAAUUAGUCAAUUGUUGUUUAUGAUGCUUCAAAAGUAGUUGAUGGUGGGGCGAUUUUGCCUAAGAAAAGAAAGGUGAAGUCGAUCGCUGUGGUCAAGUCUCAUUUCCUGACAAAGUUUGGGUCUUCUGAAGAUGAAGGUAAACAAAAAAGAAAGAUGACUGUAUUGGAUAAUAUAUGUCCUUUUUCUAAUGAUCUUGGUCAUGAUCACACUGAAAAACAAGCUUCUGAGUUUCAUAGUUGGAUUGAAACUAAAAUCAAACACAAUAACAAGUUUGUACAAUUUUUUUUUUUUUUUGAAUUUUUUUUUGCUUUGUUGAAAUUGUUUGUUUGAUUUUCUAAAAAUUGUUUAGUUUAUUUAUUUUUUAGGUUUAAGAAAUAUGAUGAUAACAAGGUUGAGCCAUCAAUUGAUUUCACUUUCAUUUUUAUUGAUAAGAAGACUUGGUUAUACUGUUUGUAUUAUCCUAGGCAGUUUGCUGAAUCAUCAGUGAAUUUCUUUCCUUUUAUGUUGUGUUUAUCAUUUUUCAAUUUUUUUUUUUUAAAUUUCAUUGAUCUAGAUCAAUUCUAUAUUAUGUUGUGAUGAGGUAACCAGUUACCACCGUCAUUUUUUAUGCUACAAUGCUCUGUGUAACUAGUUACCCAAAUGUAUAAUUUAAUGUGUAGUUGAUGGUAACUGGUUACCCAAACUUUAUAAUUUGUUGUGUAGCUAAU